UACGUAGGGUCCGAGCGUCGUCCGGAAUUACUGGGCGUAAAGAGCUCGUAGGUGGUUUGUCGCGUUGUUCGUGAAAACUCACAGCUUAACUGUGGGCGUGCGGGCGAUACGGGCAGACUGGAGUACUGCAGGGGAGACUGGAAUUCCUGGUGUAGCGGUGGAAUGCGCAGAUAUCAGGAGGAACACCGGUGGCGAAGGCGGGUCUCUGGGCAGUAACUGACGCUGAGGAGCGAAAGCGUGGGGAGCGAACAGG
rnacentral:rRNA from 1 species